UACGUAGGGGGCUAGCGUUGCUCGGAAUUACUGGGCGUAAAGGGAGCGUAGGCGGAUAGUUUAGUCAGAGGUGAAAGCCCAGGGCUCAACCUUGGAAUUGCCUUUGAUACUGGCUAUCUUGAGUAUGGGAGAGGUUAGCGGAACUCCGAGUGUAGAGGUGAAAUUCGUAGAUAUUCGGAAGAACACCAGUGGCGAAGGCGGCUAACUGGCCCAUUACUGACGCUGAGGCUCGAAAGCGUGGGGAGCAAACAGG
rnacentral:rRNA from 1 species